CCUCCAAAUCCUGAGCUGCUCAUUAUCUUCAGUCUGCACCUGCUUCCUAUCUCCAGAUUUAAUCUGUAAGCAGAAGUGGCCUCUCGAGUGUGCUGAAGCAGCCAUGGUGAAUUUCAACGCAACUGAAGCAGUCUGACCAAAAGAUUUCGCCGCCCCAUCAUUUCACUCUGAUUUCUUAUCAUCAAAAUACAAACGCCCUGCUUCAGUCCUGCAGCCCUCGCAGAAGCUUGGGUGACAAAGUUUCUUCUUUUCGGAAGAAACAAGAAAGUACAGCGAGUGCCUGGAGCUGUCAUCCACCACAGGGCACUGAUGGGAUCCCAGAGCCAAGCCCGCUUUUCUUUACCUGCUUCUUUGGUAUUUCUCUGCCACUGACAGGCUAUUUUUCUGGGAUGGGGAAGGAAGAAGAAUGUAUUUCUCAGCAGACACAAGAUCUCACCAAGUCUGAAAAGCUCAGCAAUAUGCAGAAACUACACCCAAAACG